rnacentral:rRNA from 1 species
GGUUUAAUUCGAUGCAACGCGAAGAACCUUACCUGGGCUUGACAUCCCGGGAAUCCCCUGGAAACAGGGGAGUGCCCUUGGGAACCCGGUGACAGGUGCUGCAUGGCUGUCGUCAGCUCGUGUCGUGAGAUGUUGGGUUAAGUCCCGCAACGAGCGCAACCCUUGUCUUUAAUUGCCAUCAUUUAGUUGGGCACUUUAAAGAGACUGCCGGUGUUAAGCCGGAGGAAGGUGGGGAUGACGUCAAGUCCUCAUGGCCUUUAUGACCAGGGCUACACACGUACUACAAUGGCAGGUACAAAGGGCAGCCACUUAGCGAUAAGGCGCGAAUCCCAUAAAACCUGUCUCAGUCCGGAUUGGAGUCUGCAACUCGACUCCAUGAAGUUGGAAUCGCUAGUAAUCGCAGAUCAGCACGCUGCGGUGAAUACGUUCCCGGGCCUU